AUACGGAGGGUCCAAGCGUUAUCCGGAAUCAUUGGGUUUAAAGGGUCCGCAGGCGGUCAAUUAAGUCAGAGGUGAAAGCCCAUCGCUCAACGAUGGAACUGCCUUUGAUACUGGUUGACUUGAGUUAUACGGAAGUAGAUAGAAUAAGUAGUGUAGCGGUGAAAUGCACAGAUAUUACUUAGAAUACCGAUUGCGAAGGCAGUCUACUACGUAUAUACUGACGCUGAGGGACGAAAGCGUGGGGAGCGAACAGCAUUAGAUACCCUAGUAGUCC
rnacentral:rRNA from 1 species